UCCCAAACUUUAAAACCUAAAUCCUACUUUAGGCUUCUGGAAUCUGGUUGCGGUUCUAGUUCUUAUGCUCAAUGAUACACAAAGCAUCUAGUCAUAUUUAACUACAAAUCCGCUAACAAAGCUUCUUCUUGAUUCCCAAAGCUUUGAUGGUGAAGCUGAAGU
rnacentral:sRNA from 1 species